rnacentral:rRNA from 1 species
UACAGAGGUCUCGAGCGUUGUUCGGAUUCAUUGGGCGUAAAGGGUGCGUAGGUGGCGCUGUAAGUCGGGUGUGAAAUCCUGAGGCUUAACCUCGGAACUGCAUUCGAUACUGCGGUGCUUGAGGACUGGAGAGGAGACUGGAAUUCAUGGUGUAGCAGUGAAAUGCGUAGAGAUCAUGAGGAAGACCAGUGGCGAAGGCGGGUCUCUGGGCCUUACCUGACGCUCAGGUGCGAAAGCUAGGGGAGCGAACAGG